UCUAACUUCUGCUCAAAACAAAUAGUUUCUUCAAAAAGAUUUUAAUUAAAACAAAGUAUAGCAUACGCAUCCCAAAACACAAUUUUAAAAGUUUUAAUUGAUCUGCGCCUUAACGAUAUAUUUGUAUUUUGAUACAAUGUGAUGUACAUGUAAAUUGCAUGUAAAUUUUGUUAACUGGUGUGAACAAUUUCAUAUUUAUGUACAGGUUAUCAAAACAGAUGAGAACAGAUUUAAUUUGAAACCAAUGUUCUUUACAUGAAACUACUUGUAACCAGAUGUACAGUAUAAGACGUUUGGUAUUAAUACGGCCUUACAAUCGAAGUUAAACAAUAUUAUUUCUUCGAAGGAUGCAC
rnacentral:lncRNA from 1 species